GCCAAAACUGGUACUGCACUAGAUAUGUCUAAAACCACAGCAGAAUUAGGUUUAAAGGCGACAAAUCCCCACAAGGGUGUCUGAGUAGCAAACAUGUAACCGUAAAAUGAAUACUGUUCAUUGUGAUCCCUGUGGAAAUCAUGUGUUCUGCUUUUUUUAUUUGGUUGCUAAGAAAUCGUAACAAGGAUUUGUCACAGAGUCUGCAUGUUCAGAGGUCAAGGUAGGGUAGUGAGACAAGGGAGGAAAUGUCGUGCGUGGAUGAGGCUUGAUGAGAAGGAAAGCUGUACAUAGCAGAUGAUAAAUCACCUGAUUUGGGAAAAGAGAAGGGUGUCUGCAUGUGAUUACAAGACGGUUUUCAAGGGAGACCCAUCAGCAAGUUCCCAUUAUUGUAGGCAACAGAGGGGCUCUAUUUUUCCAAUUUUCCACUGGGUAAUCCAUUGUGCUGGUCUGCUGAUUCACAUGCUGUUCUUUCAACAGUACUGAUUGAGACUGUCCGUGCAAAUACAAUGGAACAGAUUUAUUAAAGCUUGGAGUGAUAAAGUGGAGAGAGAAAAAGUGCAAACCCAUCAGCUCCUAAAGCUUGGUACACACUAUGGGGGUCAUUCAGACCCGAUCGCACGCUGCAUUUUUUUGCAGCCGUGCGACUGGGUCUGUACUGUGCAUGCGCACGGUUUGCAAUGCGCAGGAGCGUCGAUGCCAGUGACAGGGGUCGCCGGGCAGCAACGAAGUAAGCGAUCGCAAGAAGAUUGACAGGCAGAAGGCGUUCCAGGGCGGCAACUUACCAUUUUCUAGAAGUGUCCGAAGAAACGCAGGCGUGCCCAGCUGUUCCGGAGGAGGGUUCCUGACGUCACAGCCAGCCCGGAUCGUCGCAGCAUCUGAAAUCCAGGACCAACUGGAGAUCUUCCACACAUCUUCCCAAACCACACAUUCAGAAAUGCUACAUCCCAGUAGCUUAAAUGUGGCAAAAUGCCAGAGUAACCUGGGCUGGUGAUUGACAGCACCAUGCCUCCAAGAUGGGUCAUCUCAUUCUGGAACACCAUGACCUCCUGUUAUCCUUGCAGGAAAUAUCGGAAAUGGAUUGCAAAGAGAAGAGAUGCCCACGUGCCUCGCCCUGCCGGGCCUGAGGCUAUGGAACUGGCUCCUAUUGAGCAGGUGGAAGAGGUCAUCUCUAAAGGCAGUCUAAGCAAGGAACCCACUGCCAGUGAAAAGGAUAACAACAAUUGCCAAGCCCUGGAAGUGGAAAACAAAAAGCUAGCAGAAGAGAAGAACUUGCUAGCGGAGGAGAAUGAGAUCUGAAAAUAAAGCUUGAGAUCCAAUAUGAAGCCCUGAUGGAAGUGGUGAAGGUGAUGGAGGAGGCCACUGCCAAACUCCGCAGCUGUUUGGGACAAUAACUCAGCUGACCAGUAAAACAUGAUCCUUAUCUCACCUGUUAGAGAAGGUGGAAAAUAUGCUCUGAGAGGUUUCUGUAACUUCUAAUCGAAAAGUGCUGAAAUCUCUCAGUGUAUAUUUUCCACCCUUUGUCACCUUCUCUAAUAGAUGAAAGGAUUCAUGUAUGUCAUCAUCUGGUUCAGCUAACAGUGGCUAUACUAUUUCCCAUCACAUGCUCUGAUAAUAACAUCAUGAACGUCAAUAAACA